AGCUGUGGUCGCCAGGAGCGGGACGCGGGAGUAGCUGCCCGCGCGCCCGGCUCUGGAGACGGAGGGGCUGCGGUUCCUGCACGUCCCUGUGGGCUCCCCGCUGGCCACCUGCGGCCGGUUCAUGGUCUUCAGCUGCAUCCUGUCGUGCCUGAUUUUUCAGCAGCUUUCCACACGCCCGCGAGCCUUGAGGCAGAGGCAGCUGGACCGCGCCGGCUGCUGUGGGUUAGUGACUGCAAAUCCGGGCUGCUGUUCGGGAAGCUGACGAUGCUGUGAAACAAGAGGCCUUAGCAGCUGCUCGCCUGAAAACGCAGGAAGAGCUCAACGCACAGGCUGCAGCAGCCCUUUGUCUGGCAAAGGAGGUAGAGCCUGCUGCUCCUGCAGACCUGCACGGAGAGGCCCCACAUCUGCCUCAGAGCCCGUAGGGCCAUCUGGUCGACCCAAUGGAUGUAGUCACAGCAGGGAGAAUGGUCCCUUCAAGUCUCCAGAUGGAAACAAAUUCCCACGGAGGUGCCCCCCGAUGAAGGAACACUUGUGAGCUUCCGACCCACCUCAGAGCUCCCCCAGCAUGGCCUGUGCCAGCCCCCCCCACCUCCGCAGUGAGCUGGGGCCCAAUGAGGGGCACUUCUGGUGGGGGCCACCUUCUGACGUCCCGAAGCCACAUGAACCGGACGAUCCUGCGAGUGCAAAGGGCCUCCUGGAGCUCUGCCUGGCUCACCGCAGCCAAAUCCUGUGCUCCCGAAGGAGGGAACCAUGGAAAAGCAUCCGCCACGUGGCGCCUGAGACAACCAGCGCAAAUGUCCCGUGGAUGGGUCCGCCUCUCAGGAUGGCAAGGGUGCACCCACGGCCGCUGAAUCGAUGCACUCAACCUCGGAGCACGUCUCUGACCUGACCGAUGAGGAGCACAGGCCCCGCAAGCAGAGCACCACGUUGGGCAGGAACACGGGCCCAGCCGGGGGCAGAGUGGGCGCUGUCUGCUCCUCCUCUGUGCGGUUAGGGUGCGUCCGAGGAGUGCGUGAGGGCCACGUGCGGAGAGCAGCCGGGAAGGGCUGCAUCCGUCUCGCAGCCCUUUUCAGGUGAAGUAUAGCUUAACCUCGGAGGAGAACCCCCUACACAAAACAGGAAGACCUGUGAGGUGGGGUCACCACAGCCCAAAGCUCAAGCUGGUCAGUGGCUCCCGCUGUGUGUCUGCAGCCGAGCCCCUCUCGCCUGCCCUGGGCUGGUUCUCACCCCCAGAGCGGAUGCCUCCAGUAUCUCUGUGGGAAACACGCUCUCCCCAUUUCCACAGAGCCCCAGUGGGCCCCCCGUGACGGAAGGGCACACACGCUGCUUGCUAGUCGACCGGCCCCAACACCUUAGCUAGAAGUUACAGUACACCGCACCCCCGAACCUACAAUUCCUCCCGAGAACAAAUGAAGCACAGGCCCCUGGGCACUACUGGGGGUGAGCCUGAGAGUGCUGCUGGCCUCCUGGAACUCUCCCCUGGGCACUGGGACCAAACUCCAUCCCUUACCUACUACCGUGUUCCAUUGGCCCGAGGAUGUGAAAUCCAAAGAAAGCACCUUAGCACGACCUAGACCUUUCUACCACCCGUUGCUCCCACUCACAAACUGGACCGUCUGGGGAGAGCCCCGAAAAUUCUGAGAAAUCCAGGGAGUGGGGCCCAGCCCAUCUCACCCACCCAGGGCGGUCUCCCACCUCCGGAUCCAGGCACCUCGGUGGAAAGCACUGUCUUCUCCCGUUCCCCGGGGACCCUCAAUGGGGUCCCUUGAGCAGAGAAGCACAAUCCGUUCACUGGGCAACCAGUCCUGAUGCACCCCCACACCUCAGCCAGAAGUGUUGGCAGGGGCCCCACUACCUCCACCGCCCCCCAUCCCUACAACAAACCUGCAGCUACAAUUCCUCUGAAAAACAGAUGAAGCUCAGACCCCUGGGCGCUACCGGUGUGAGCCUGAGUGCUGCCGGCCUCCUGGAACUCAGCCCUGGGCACUGCGGCCAAAUCCAUCCCUUACCUACUACCAUGUUGUUCCCAUGGACCAAGGAAGUGAAAUCCAAAGAAGGCACCUUAGCAGGGACCUAGACGUCUCUACCACCCGUUGCUCCCACUCACAAAAACCAGGCGGUCUGGGGAGAGGCCUGAAAAUCCUGAGAAAAAUCUACGGCAUGGUUCCCACCUUUCCGGGGCCCAGCCCAUCUCUCACCAGUGUGGAACCAUCUCCCACCUCCGGAUCCAGAUCCAGGCACCUCGGGUGUUUCGUUGGGAAGCACUGACUUCUCCCGUUUCCCGGGGACCCUCAGUGGGAUCCCGCGAGCAGAGAGGCACCAUCCGUUUGCUGGUCAACCGGUUCUGGCGCGCCCCCACACCUCAGCCAGAAGUGCUAGCAACAGCCCCACUACCUUCACCAGCCCCAGCCCUACAAGCCUGCAGCUACAAUCUCCAGAGAACAGGUGAAGCUUGGACUCCUGGGCUCUACCGGGGUGAGCCUGAAAGUUCUGCCGGCCUCCUGGAACUCUCCCCUGGGCACUGGGACCAAAUUCCCUCCCUUAUCUAACUACUGUGUUCCACGGGCCAAGGACGUGAAAUCCGCAGAAGGCACCUUAGCAGGGACCUAGACCUCUCUACCACCCGUUGCUCCCACUCACAAACCAGGCUGUCUGGGGAGAGCCCCGAAAAUUCAGAGAAAAAUCUAGGGAGUGGGACCCAGCCCAUCUCACCCGCCCAGGGCCGUCUCCCACCUCUGGAUCCAGAUCCAGGCACCUCGGGCGUCUCGGUGGGAAGGACUGUCUUCUCCUGUUUCCCGUGGGGCCUCAGUGGGGUCCCGCAAGCAGAGGCACCAUCUGCUUGCUGGUCAACCGGUCCUGGCACACCCCACACCUCAGCCAAAAGGGCUAGCAAUGGCCUCACCACCUCCACUGACUCCGUCCCUACAAACCUGCAGGUAUGAUCUCUGGAGAACAGAUGAAGCGCGGUUCCCUGGGCUCUACCGGGGUGAGCCUGAAAGCACUGCCGGCCUCCUGGAACUCUCCCCUGGGCACUGUGGCCGAGUUCCAUCCCUUAGCUACUACCGGGUUCCACGGGCCGAGGAAAUGAAAUCCGAAGAAAACACCUUAGCAGGGACCUAGACCUCUCUACCACCCGUUGCUCCCACUCACAUCCCGGACCGUCCGGGGAGAGCCCCGAGAAUUUUGAGAGAAAUUUAAGGAGCGGGUCCACACCUUUUCAGGGCCCAGCCCGUCUCACCAGCCCAGGGCGGUCUCCCACCUCCGGAUCCAGAUCCGGGCACCUCGGGCGUCUGGUUGGGAAGCACUGACUUCUCCCCUUUCCCGUGGGGCCUCAGUGGGCUCCCCGCAAGCAGAGAGGCACCAUCCGUUUGCUGGUCAACCUGUCCUGGCGCACCCCACACCGCAGCCAGAAGGGCUAGCAAUGGCCUCACCACCUCCGCCGUCUCCGUCCCUGCAAACCUGCAGCUACAAUCUCCAGAGAACAGAUGAAGCGCGGUUUCCUGGGCUCUACCGCGGUGAGCGUGAAAGCGCUGCCGACCUCCUGGAACUCUGCCUGGGGCACUGUGAUCAAUUCUCUUCCCUCACCGAUUGCCCCGGAGCUCCAGAGGAAGGAGACAAUAUAAAAGCGGCCACCAGGUGGCGCCGGAAAACCGGCGCCGAGGUCAGCGGGACCGACGGGGGCUGGCUGGGGCGCACCGCCGGCCUUCCCGCUCCACUCCUGCCCUGCCUCAUCUCGCUCGCCCCGGAGCUCGUCUCUUGCGAGGUUCCGACCCGCGGAGGGCGUGCAGCCUGGACCCGGGCGUCCACCUCAGAGUUCACCCCCGGCAUGGCGCGACCCUGGCCGCAGAAAGGGGAAUUUGUAAAUGUUUUUUUCAGGAGGCUGCAGGGAUGGGGGCCGACUCCCCACGCAAUUCCCCGGCGGCCGACACGGUUCGAGUAAACUCCCCGGGACACGGGCACGGGCUUCCCGGGGGCGCACGAACGGUUCCCGGGCUCCCGGGAGGACUAACCUGCAGGCAGGUGUGGACUGUCCGACGGAAACCAUGCAACUCCCCGAAGGACAGUAGCGGACUGAGGACUCGUUCUUACUCCAUAAUUGAUACUGAGCGUUACUGGACACCAGACCCUAAUAGUGUUUUUUGCUUUGUUUUGUUUUGUUUUUUUUCU